rnacentral:rRNA from 1 species
AUUGAACGCUGGCGGCAGGCCUAACACAUGCAAGUCGAGCGGAGCGGCGGGCGGGCGAGUAAUUCCUAGGUAUCUGCCUGGCCGUGGGGGAUAACGUCCGGCAACGGGCGCUAAUACCUCAUAUUCUCUGAUGAGCCUAGGUCGGAUUGGCUAGUUGGUGGGGUAAAGGCUUACCUAGGCGACGAUCCGUAGCUGGUCUGAGAGGAUGAUCAGUCACACUGGGACUGAGACACGGUCCAGACUCCUACGGGAGGCAGCAGUGGGGAAUAUUGGACAAUGGGCGAAAGCCUGAUCCAGCCAUGCCGCGUGUGUGAAGAAGGUCUUAGGGUUGUAAAGCACUUUAAGUUGGGAGGCGUUACCAACAGAAGAAGCACCGGCUAACUUCGUGCCAGCAGCCGCGGUAAUUC